GAACAAUAACAAAUCAUAUUACUAAUGAUCAAACUGCUAGAAAAGGGAGUGGUCUGUUGCGUGUUUCACUUUAGUCAUCAUUACAAAGUUUUAUUUUGUCGAGUUAAUAGGAGAGCAUCAGUUUUCUUGUCACUGAACUUCGUCACGGAAAAUCGUGCUGCACACCAACGAACGAUGGAUUUGUCAACGACGUCAUCGAAGUUCGUUUUGUUUAUAUGUCUGCUUGUUGGCAUUGGACCAAUGCUCGCAAAGAGUCAGAUUGUGACGACUAUAUUGCUUUGUGAAGGCGACAUCCGACUGAUAGACGGCAUGGGAGGAAAGAUUCAGGUCUUGUCUGCGCUUUAUGGUCGCAUCGAUCCAUCUCUCUGUCUUUCUACCACUACCACCACUACCACCACUGACUCCACCACAACAGAAAUCCCUAUAAUAACAAAUGCAGACCCCGUCGGCGGAGGUGCUCUACCACAACCAACACUACCACCUGAACAAACCAUCGCCGCCCCCACCACCGCCGCCGUGGCCUCGAUCCCAUGUAAAAGUACCGCUACUGCCAGCCUGAUCACGGACAUUUGCAAUGGAAGGUGUCAGUGCAUAAUGGCUGCCUCGAAUAGUUUGUUUGGGGACCCCUGUCCUGGCCUGACCGAGUAUGUCACUAUGACCUACACAAUAAUUAUUGAGUAGUAACCAGGCAGGCCAAUUCUAGAACUCAUCCACCAACCAAGGAUUCGUCAACAUCAAACACAGCGCCAUCUACGAGAAAGAUCCUCAACUACCCGUCAACAAAAGACAUUGGCUGUGAAAACUGGAUUAAUUAACAUACAGUCAUGUACAACUUACGCUUGAAAAAAUGUCAUUUGAAGGGGACCAAAAUUCUAUGAAAUCUGCCCCUCCGCUUUUUCAAAAAAAUUAAAAUUAAAAAAAAGAAGAUGACUUUAUUUCGAGAAAAAACGAAAAUGACCCUUAAAAUUGGUUUGGGUUUCGAGGCUUUAGCGGCACACCCCGUCAAAACCAAAUCUGAGUACCCCCCCCCCCCGGAAUCUCGCUGAUCACAGUAAUUCAGUACGGGUUGUUUUCUAUUUUCUUUUAUUGUUUUUAUUCUUCUUCUUCUCUUUCUCUCUUUCCUUCUUCUUGGGGUCAAUAUUAACACCGGAAAGAUGAAAAAAGGCAUCUUUAUUUCUUUGAAAAUAUAUAUUUUUUCUGGAUUGCGUCCCUUCAAACUUCGUUGAUUCCACACCCGACACAAUGGGAUAUUGAUAUAAUAUUUAAAGUCCCCAAGUAGUUAGCUGUGUUUUUUCUCUAGUCUGUAAAUGUGCUUAAUCUUGUUGUUCAUCUAUUUCUUAUUAGAGCUUUUAGAACGAAAAACUGCUAAGUUGAGACACCGUUUUUUUAAACAUACGGAAGUAGGGAACCUUACCAUUAAGUUAACGUGAGGCAUUGCAAAUUCAAAGCUGUUGUAAGUAUUUCAAACAGACAUUAUAUAGGAUGUAUUCUUUAACAUAGUAAUGUGUAUUUAAACUGAAUUUCAACUCAUUAUGAUUACAGUAAAUAUCUAUGUUUGAGAUCUGGUGUAAACAGUUCGAUGGUACGCCCUGCUGUGCUUAAAUGUCAGAUAAAAUUGUAUAUGCUAUUUCCCUCCAUAAUGUUUGUAUAGUCUUAUGUUGGCCUUAUCAUUAAAAUCAAACUGAAAAUCAGAGGAAGUAACAUUUAUUAGCUCAAGACAUGUCAACAUGAAAUCGGCUGAAUUGGCAAAAACACGACAAAUUCCUAAUGUAGACCUCCUGUGUAGAUUUUUUACUUUGUAUAAGAUGCAUAAGGCUAAAAAAAAAAGAAGAUGUUGUAUUGCUUUGCGACUGACCCGAAAAUCUUAAAAUCUGCGGUCGGCUUUUUAUUACAUUUUUUUAAACCGAUUUUUAGAAACUAAAUGUUUAAUGAAAUUUAAAAAAUGUAUUUUGUUCGUUUAAAUGGGAUACAAAUGCAUGAAACCAUCAAAUUAUUCCCAAAUUCUCACUUGUCUUCUGCUCUAGUUUCGAAAUCUUUCUAGCCUACGUGUAUACACCAUGCACUCUAUGAAGCCAGCGAGAUUUGGGCGACGUUCCCGGUUUUGAGUUUUUAUGGGCGACGGUCGCUGUUUUGAGGGGGAAGAAAUAAACCUUACCGACCGACCCAGGUUCUGGCACCUAAAAGGGCAAUACAACAUCUUUUUUUAGGCCUAAGGUUAAAUUAUGUUUACGAUAUCUUCUUCAUGUUGUUGUUGGUGAUGGUUUAAUGGCUAUUGUCCAUAGGUGAUUAAAGCUACCCAUUAACUGUGCGGGAGUGGAAAUGGGCUCUUUUUGAGGAGUAAUAAUUAUAUGAGGGGUAUACGUUGAAAGCUUUAAUCCAUUCCAAAUCAUAGUGGAAUCCAUUCCGUAGUUGAAAUACUUUUCAUUAAUAUAGUGGAUUCAAGUUUUGAUUUUGACAACCGCUCUUUUCAGGUUUGUAAUUACCACUCUAUCAUUCAUUUGCCUCUGUUUGUGUUAGUGUUUGUAGCCUAUUUUGUGUAGGAUCAUGUACCUGUAACUAUUUGAUGAUCAAACCACUUUAUAAUUCCGUUGGUGUAUUUUCCAUUUUCCAUUUUAUUGUCUCAUCCAUAAUUAUUACGGUAAGAAAGAUUUUAUUCCAAUGAUUGUAUACAUUGGGUUUGAAUGAUUUUAUGAAAGUGGUGAUAACAUUCAAUUUAAAACCUAUUUAGAAGUGUUCCCUAAUAAUAACUAUACCUAAGGUGGAUUUCCACCAUUUGAUGUAAUGACUCUUGAUGUAUUGUGCACCCCUUUCCCUCUGUAUAAUGUAUCUCUCUUAAUUUGUUUUAGUCUAUCUCAGUAUAUCUCUGGAAUAUUCUAUAUAGGUCUCCAGAAGCGCCCCCUCCCCCCCUCUCUCUCUCUCCCUUUC